AGAGUUUGAUCCUGGCUCAGGAUGAACGCUAGCGGCAGGCUUAAUACAUGCAAGUCGAGGGGCAACAGGUUCCGAGCAAUCGGAAUGCUGGCGACCGGCAAACGGGUGCGGAACACGUACAGAACCUUCCUUCGAGCGGGGAAUAGCCCAGAGAAAUUUGGAUUAAUACCCCAUAGUAUAUUGGAGUGGCAUCACUUUAAUAUUAAAGAUUUAUCACUUGAAGAUGGCUGUGCGGCUGAUUAGGUAGUUGGCGGGGUAACGGCCCACCAAGCCUACGAUCAGUAACUGGUGUGAGAGCACGACCAGUCACACGGGCACUGAGACACGGGCCCGACUCCUACGGGAGGCAGCAGUAAGGAAUAUUGGUCAAUGGACGAAAGUCUGAACCAGCCAUGCCGCGUGGAGGAUGAAGGUCCUCUGGAUUGUAAACUUCUUUUAUAUGGGACGAAAAAAGGGUUUUCUAACUCGUCUGACGGUACCAUAUGAAUAAGCACCGGCUAACUCCGUGCCAGCAGCCGCGGUAAUACGGAGGGUGCAAGCGUUAUCCGGAUUCACUGGGUUUAAAGGGUGCGUAGGUGGGUUGGUAAGUCAGUGGUGAAAUCCCCGAGCUUAACUUGGGAACUGCCAUUGAUACUAUCAGUCUUGAAUACCGUGGAGGUUAGCGGAAUAUGUCAUGUAGCGGUGAAAUGCUUAGAUAUGACAUAGAACACCAAUUGCGAAGGCAGCUGGCUACACGAAUAUUGACACUGAGGCACGAAAGCGUGGGGAUCAAACAGGAUUAGAUACCCUGGUAGUCG
rnacentral:rRNA from 1 species